AGACGUAGCAAUACGUUUGUAAAGCGGCGAACGGGUGAGGAAUACAUGGGUAACCUACCCUCGAGUGGGGAAUAACUAGCCGAAAGGUUAGCUAAUACCGCGUACGCUCCUUGGACUUCGGUUCAGGGAGGAAAGCGAUACCGUGGGUAUCGCGCUCUUGGAUGGGCUCAUGUCCUAUCAGCUUGUUGGUGAGGUAACGGCUCACCAAGGCUUCGACGGGUAGCUGGUCUGAGAGGACGAUCAGCCACACUGGCACUGCGACACGGGCCAGACUCCUACGGGAGGCAGCAGUAAGGAAUAUUGCGCAAUGGGCGAAAGCCUGACGCAGCGACGCCGCGUGGGGGAUGAAGGUCUUCGGAUUGUAAACCCCUUUCGGGAGGGAAGAUGGAAUGGGGUAACCCAUUCGGACGGUACCUCCAGAAGCAGCCACGGCUAACUUCGUGCCAGCAGCCGCGGUAAUACGAAGGUGGCAAGCGUUAUUCGGAUUUACUGGGCGUACAGGGAGCGUAGGCGGUUCGGUAAGCCCUUUGUGAAAUCCUCAGGCUUAACCUGGAAAAGUCGGAGGGGACUGCCGGGCUAGAGGACGGGAGAGGAGCGCGGAAUUCCCGGUGUAGCGGUGAAAUGCGUAGAGAUCGGGAGGAAGGCCGGUGGCGAAGGCGGCGCUCUGGAACGUUUCUGACGCUGAGGCUCGAAAGCGUGGGGAGCAAACAGGAUUAGAUACCCUGGUAGUCCACGCCUUAAACUAUGAAUACUAAGUGUCGGCGGGUUACCGCCGGUGCCGCAGCUAACGCAUUAAGUAUUCCGCCUGGG
rnacentral:rRNA from 1 species